GGAUGCAGCUUUGGGCAGCCAGCUGUAGUGGUUGGCAACCCUGCCCAGAGCAGGGGGCUUGAAACUAGAUGAUCUU